rnacentral:rRNA from 1 species
UGGGGAAUAUUGGACAAUGGGGGGAACCCUGAUCCAGCCAUGCCGCGUGUGUGAAGAAGGCCUUAUGGUUGUAAAGCACUUUAAGCGAGGAGGAGGGUACUGGUAUUAAUACUACCAGCUACUGGACGUUACUCGCAGAAUAAGCACCGGCUAACUCUGUGCCAGCAGCCGAGGUAAUACAGAGGGUGCGAGCGUUAAUCGGAUUUACUGGGCGUAAAGCGUGCGUAGGCGGCUAAUUGAGUCGGAUGUGAAAUCCCCGAGCUUAACUUGGGAACUGCAUUCGAUACUGGUUAGCUAGAGUGUGGGAGAGGAUGGUAGAAUUCCAGGUGUAGCGGUGAAAUGCGUAGAGAUCUGGAGGAAUACCGAUGGCGAAGGCAGCCAUCUGGCCUAACACUGACGCUGAGGUACGAAAGCAUGGGGAGCAAACAGG